CUUUCCAGUCCUCUCAUAGGUUCAUACAAAUCAGCUCAUGAAUAUGAAUGGCAUGAGUGAUGUGGGCGAUCGUCACAAUCAUCAUAGUAUUCCUUUCCUGGUGUUUACAGAUCAACUAUUAGCGAUCUGUUCUAGAACAUUUUCUAGUAUUGAUGUCACAUGGACCAAGCAGUAGUUGCCUUACUCCCUUUUCUGAAGACUGAGACAUUUGUCCACUUCCAGUCUGUAGAACCUCACCUGUUCUCCAAGUACUCUGACACAGAUAGAGGUUGAGAUAACAUAUAUGCAAAAAAACAUAACUGUGAAUACCAUACCCUAAAGCUAGCUCAUGGUCCUCUUCUCUCCAAGCCAUAGAGCAAAGGCAUCUGACGCUGCUCAACAUAUGCAAGAUGAAGAUCAGAUUUCGAAAGUGUUCUGAAAUAAUAGCCUCACCACUGACAGUGUUAAAUAUAAAAUGUAAAUAGUUUGUUCCAUCAAAAGCAAAGUUUUAUUUUUGUCAAAUGAUACUAUGAAAGCAUGUUCUAAAUCUGGUAGAUGAGGAAGAUCUACUUCUGUCAUUAAAUGAGCUUCAUUAUAAUUAAAUAAAUUAUAGUUAAAUAAUA